CUAUAUAAAUAAUAAAAUAUAAAUAAAAGCAACCAAUCGGAUUACUACCGUUUGCACCAAUGAUGUUUCUCUCUCUCCGCAGAAAGAAUGGCAGCGAAAAUGGCGAGGCGCAUACUUCGAAAAGUAUUUUGUUGCCUCCCACUUUUUAGAAAAAAACGAAUUGUGAAAGAUAAAGAAGUUGUUAUUCUGGUUCAACCAGAAGAACAACAACAUCAACCCACUGAAACCAUCUGCGAGCAACCAGUUCCACCUACUGGGAAUGUUGUCUCUCAAGACAACCCGGAGCAGAUUGUGGGGCUUGGAGAUAAC